rnacentral:rRNA from 1 species
AGAGUUUGAUCCUGGCUCAGGAUGAACGCUGGCGGCGUGCCUAAUACAUGCAAGUCGAGCGAACAGACGAGGAGCUUGCUCCUCUGACGUUAGCGGCGGACGGGUGAGUAACACGUGGAUAACCUACCUAUAAGACUGGGAUAACUUCGGGAAACCGGAGCUAAUACCGGAUAAUAUAUUGAACCGCAUGGUUCAAUAGUGAAAGACGGUUUUGCUGUCACUUAUAGAUGGAUCCGCGCCGCAUUAGCUAGUUGGUAAGGUAACGGCUUACCAAGGCAACGAUGCGUAGCCGACCUGAGAGGGUGAUCGGCCACACUGGAACUGAGACACGGUCCAGACUCCUACGGGAGGCAGCAGUAGGGAAUCUUCCGCAAUGGGCGAAAGCCUGACGGAGCAACGCCGCGUGAGUGAUGAAGGUCUUCGGAUCGUAAAACUCUGUUAUUAGGGAAGAACAAAUGUGUAAGUAACUAUGCACGUCUUGACGGUACCUAAUCAGAAAGCCACGGCUAACUACGUGCCAGCAGCCGCGGUAAUACGUAGGUGGCAAGCGUUAUCCGGAAUUAUUGGGCGUAAAGCGCGCGUAGGCGGUUUUUUAAGUCUGAUGUGAAAGCCCACGGCUCAACCGUGGAGGGUCAUUGGAAACUGGAAAACUUGAGUGCAGAAGAGGAAAGUGGAAUUCCAUGUGUAGCGGUGAAAUGCGCAGAGAUAUGGAGGAACACCAGUGGCGAAGGCGACUUUCUGGUCUGUAACUGACGCUGAUGUGCGAAAGCGUGGGGAUCAAACAGGAUUAGAUACCCUGGUAGUCCACGCCGUAAACGAUGAGUGCUAAGUGUUGGAGGGUUUCCGCCCUUCAGUGCUGCAGCAAACGCAUUAAGCACUCCGCCUGGGGAGUACGACCGCAAGGUUGAAACUCAAAGGAAUUGACGGGGGCCCGCACAAGCGGUGGAGCAUGUGGUUUAAUUCGAAGCAACGCGAAGAACCUUACCAGGUCUUGACAUCCUUUGACCACUCUAGAGAUAGAGCUUUCCCUUCGGGGACAAAGUGACAGGUGGUGCAUGGUUGUCGUCAGCUCGUGUCGUGAGAUGUUGGGUUAAGUCCCGCAACGAGCGCAACCC